UUACUCAUGGGGAGAAAUUCGAAGUCUGGAAUGCAAUCUAUACCUUUCCCAGCCCCUUGACUGAGUUAUACGCAAUCCCCCCGACUACCUGCUCAUCGAUCCCGUUACAAGGACAAUCUGCUCUGUAAAAUAACUUUUUUUAAAUCAAAAACAACUCAUUGUAAAGAGCGAGAAAGAAAAAUCCAGGUUUUUGAAAUUGCUGGGAACGAUGGGGAUCAAUAAUCUCAUUUAAUGUCGUCCUAUAGAGAAAUGAUGCUUGAAGACUCUCUGUUGUAUUUGAGAAAGAACUUGUCCAAAUUUCUCCGUGAGGUAUGACUUCUUUCUUCGUCAGUUCUGCCAGUGCUGCGUUCCGUCAGAAACAAUAUAGAAUCUCUGUCACUGUCACGUCCGAGUUCCAAAACGUCAAAGAUACGAGGAAGAACAAUCGCCAUCUUUAUAUGAACUUCUGAUUGGUAGAAGUUUAUGCUUGGAAUCAGGUUGGAGGAAUAUGGGAAGAAUAGUGCCAGGCAUAAGAAUAUAUAUGCAGAUCCAUUUAUUUCCAAUAUUGUGUUGGACGUUUUUAGUGGCUGUUUGAAGCUUAAUCUAAGCAAUGUCAAUUAUCAGUGUAACAGGGACCAAUCAUGUUUAAGUAUUUAACUUUGAGACUUGAGAGUAGGAUGUAACUUAAAAGUUGUUUUAGAAAAUUAGAAAAACCAUGCACACUGGAAUUUUACGACAAUUAAAGAUAUCAUUCC
rnacentral:sRNA from 1 species